rnacentral:rRNA from 1 species
CAGCCGCCGCGGUAAUACAGAGGGUGCGAGCGUUAAUCGGAUUUACUAAGCGUAAAGCGUGCGUAGGCGGCUAAUUGAGUCGGAUGUGAAAUCCCCGAGCUUAACUUGGGAAUUGCAUUCGAUACUGGUUAGCUAGAGUGUGGGAGAGGAUGGUAGAAUUCCGGGUGUAGCGGUGAAAUGCGUAGAGAUCUGGAGGAAUACCGAUGGCGAAGGCAGCCAUCUGGCCUAACACUGACGCUGAGGUACGAAAGCAUGGGGAGCAAACAGGAUUAGAUACCCCCGUAGUCCCUGUCUCUUAUAC